rnacentral:rRNA from 1 species
GAGUUUGAUCCUGGCUCAGAACGAACGCUGGCGGCGCGCUUAACACAUGCAAGUCGAACGAGAAGCUGUAGCAAUACAGUUGUAAAGUGGCAAACGGGUGAGUAAUGCGUGGGUAAUCUACCCUAGGGUGGGGAAUAACUCCUCGAAAGGGGAGCUAAUGCCGACAUGUGCGCCACUCUCGCAAGGGAGUGAUGGAAAGCCGUACCGUGGGUGCGGCGCCCAAGGAUGAGCUCACGUCCUAUCAGCUUGUUGGCGGGGUAACGGCCCACCAAGGCUGCGACGGGUAGCUGGUCUGAGAGGACGACCAGCCACACUGGCACUGCGACACGGGCCAGACUCCUACGGGAGGCAGCAGUGAGGAAUAUUGCGCAAUGGACGACAGUCUGACGCAGCGACGCCGCGUGGGGGAUGAAGGCCUUCGGGUUGUAAACCCCUUUCAGGAGGGAAGAUGGGACGGGUAACCGUUCGGACGGUACCUCCAGAAGCAGCCACGGCUAACUCUGUGCCAGCAGCCGCGGUAAGACAGAGGUGGCAAGCGUUGUUCGGAUUUACUGGGCGUAAAGAGUGCGUAGGUGGUGAGGUAAGAUCUGUGGGAAAGACCUGGGCUUGACCCAGGAAGGUCGCAGAUGACUGCCUCGCUUGAGGACGGG